GGCGGUUGUGACCGUUGUGGCCGCUGGGCGGUCCCAACGUCCCCGGGGGCGUCCGAGCAGCGCUUGUGAGCGAGCGGCCCUUGUACCCUGCCAGAGCCCUGGCCGUGGGCUUUGGGUGUGUAAAUGGAAACGCCGGGGCGGCCUCGCUUUCCCCACCUCAUCGGUGUUUUCCGAGGGACGUCCGAGCCACGAGGCUGCAAAAGAGGAAGGAAGGGGAGAAAGGCGGGGAAGUGGACACCCGUGACCAGCGCUCUGCUGUGAUGCAGAGGAUUUCUCUCAGUGUUACUGGGGAAGAGAAGUGUUUUCAAAGUGCUGAAGAAAGAAACUUGUCCCUCCUGGUUCUCCGCUUGUCCUGCACUUUUCUCAAUAGGUUAUUGAUCCUGGAAGUGAAAAGUGACCUUCAAAUGCCAAGUUUCAGCACUGGGGCCCUGAUCCAAAAUCUGCUGGGGGAAAAGGAGAUUUGAACGCUUGUUCCCAAUAGGGUUUUGAGAACCUCCAGAGGAAAACUGUGGACAACAAAUGCCUGCUAAUUAAAACCAAAAAAUUAUC